UUGACAAGACAGCACAAGCCUGGCACCAAAGUACUCUGCCAAAUUGCGAAUUUAGACAAUGCCAUUGAGUUAUGUUCUCCCAUUUUUGCCCUCGUUUAGCAAUUGCUGUCCUCAUAUUUCCCUUAGAAUUUCCAGCCCUACCUUCUGAUUUCCCAAUCGACCCGAACGGCGCCCUUGCUUCUCCCGCAAUCGGAUCUCUCUGUUGAUGAGAUUUUCAAGUCACAUCGUUCCGACCACCCAAGAUUCGUUGUCCAAUAUUCGUCGGUUGAAGGUAAGGUAGCCCCAUACGAGAUCGUGUGGUUCGUGUUCCUUGCACCCGGAUCUCUCCGCCUACCAUUUCCGGCCAACAUCCAUCGGAGCACCUUACCAACAUCUGCUCCAGGCUCCUACCGACGGUAACUAGGCUCUUCAACAACCAUUAGGUAAUUGUUCUUCCAUUUGACCACCACAACUGCCACAGCUCGUUGUACAGCAAGGUUCGACCUUGAUUUAGUUUCAGGGCCUUCUGAACAUCGAACUUCCAUCACAAAUCCGCUCCUCACAAUGGAUAACUUCGGCUAGCAGAGGAACUGUUUUCCCGAAGACUUGCUCGGCACUAGUGGCAGUGCCCACCCGAUGCAUUGUGCUGCAUCCGACCAGCAAGACCCGUAGCCAACGGUGCAAAAGUCAGCCAAAUGGAAAUCCUUGGAGUCCAAGGUCUUCAUUUCAACAUGCGAAACCGUGAUCGCAAAAGGCCACCGAUGAGGCAAAUGCUUUUCAACAAAGGGAUGGCUGCAUAUCACAAAAAUUUUCAACAAGAAAGCUGGAAAGAACUGGACUAUAUCCUAGAUGAAGAACUACUGGAGUGAACUGCGGGAGCAACACAAACACCUGUUCGAGCUGCUGCAAUGUACAGGAAUUGAGUACCACUCGAGCACCGGUACAAUCGUUGCUCCGGAGCAUUGGUGGGACGCCAAAAUCAAGGUGCAUUAUUUCCAUUAUAACUUCCAUGUACUAUCAUGCUGUGUCUAUCUUAUUAAAGUUGUGUGUGAGCAUGAUUGAUAUACAAAUAGAAUUUCUUAAUAAUGCUAAUUUCAUACUGUGACGCUUAGUAUGUGACACUAGUUCAUCCACAUGAUCUAGAUCAACAUAGAGGUUCAUUUGCUCUUGUUAAUGCAUUGGUUAAUUGUCGUUAACUGCAUGCAUUUGAGUGUUUCCUUCUAGUUCAUGCAUUUGUUUAUUCGUAUCCUUUUCCGUUCUAAUAUCGUGUUUCAUUAUUCGUUAUGUUUUCAUUUUCAUUUGGAAACAAGAUAAGCCAAAGUAUGCGAAGUAUAAGCACAUUGAUUGCAACGAGAUUUAUGACACUUGUGGAAAGCUGUUCGGGGACACCUAAGACGCAACGAAGUACGCGUUGUCCCCAACAAAGCUGUCGCAACGUGGCUUUGACCUAAGUACAGAUAGUGAUCGAGAAGACGUCGGCGACAAGUUACCAAUCAACACAGAGGGAACCGAUUCUAGUGGCAGUCCAAACGAGGACAGAGGAAACUCUUUGAUGAACAUAUCCGGGAGGCAAAAUGGUGACAAAUGGAAAGGAAAACAAUGGAGAGACAGAUGAUAUAAGAAACGGUACAGUGCUGGAGACGUGUCGACAUCACUUGAGUAGAUGGUUAGCGUCAGAACAGAUCUGGCCUCCAUUGCGAGAUCACAUCGUAACAGAGGAAUGUCGGUCAACGAGUGUGUCGACGAAUUGCUCUCGUUGGGUUAUGUGAAGAAGGGUGAUAUGCUCCACUUGUUCGCCAUGUAGUUUCUCAGCGACUAAGAUGAUCAAAAUUCGUACUGUGCUGCGAAGACACCAAUUCUGUGCUUCAAGUUUGUGGAGUACUGUUUCGAGCGAGACAAUAUAUCAUGUGAGUGAAAGGGGUGAUUGCUUGGCAUUCGACUUAUGCUGUUGUGCACUUUCCGAUUCAUUUUUUUCCCUGCACCUUUUUUUUGUGCAUUUUACUUGUGAGAUUUAGCUGUAACUGACUUUAGAAGUUAAAAAUUUUCUGUGUCGCAUGUGAACCUGUUGCCUUGGAGUGAUUUGUACUUUCACUAUUAUAUGUACCAUAUUGUAUUAUUAUAUUCUUUUUACA